AUGCACGCUGGCGGCGUGCCUCAUACAUGCAAGUCGAGCGAACAGACGAGGAGCUUGCUCCUCUGACGUUAGCGGCGGACGGGUGAGUAACACGUGGAUAACCUACCUAUAAGACUGGGAUAACUUCGGGAAACCGGAGCUAAUACCGGAUAAUAUAUUGAACCGCAUGGUUCAAUAGUGAAAGACGGUUUUGCUGUCACUUAUAGAUGGAUCCGCGCCGCAUUAGCUAGUUGGUAAGGUAACGGCUUACCAAGGCAACGAUGCGUAGCCGACCUGAGAGGGUGAUCGGCCACACUGGAACUGAGACACGGUCCAGACUCCUACGGGAGGCAGCAGUAGGGAAUCUUCCGCAAUGGGCGAAAGCCUGACGGAGCAACGCCGCGUGAGUGAUGAAGGUCUUCGGAUCGUAAAACUCUGUUAUUAGGGAAGAACAAAUGUGUAAGUAACUAUGCACGUCUUGACGGUACCUAAUCAGAAAGCCACGGCUAACUACG
rnacentral:rRNA from 1 species